CUUUGAAUAAAAGUGACACCUAACAUCCACGUAUUCCAACAUCAGUCUGAAUUCCGAUAGCAAAAAAUCUUAUUCGGAAGACUCCGUAUACAUACUAUAAGUACUUUAUUGUAAUUAAAUUACAAAAUAUUGAUCACAUGAUGCUAGUAUUACUAGACUUUCAAUUGCUUUUAAUCAAUCCAAAAUUUCGCGGGCAUUCAGAGCGUAGUUUAAAGUAUCAGUAUGUAAAGUGUUGUUGGAAGAAUUUUGUUAAAUACAGAAUGACUGGAGAAUUUCAGCAAAAGUAUCAUAAGUCAUAGGUUAUUGGGGACAGGAAAAUGUUUUUUUUUACCCUCCACCUUUAUUUCCAAAGUUCACAAUUUUUGGUUUUCUAUCAAUUUCAAUAUGAACAUACAUUUAGUAUGUUAUGAACAUUUAUUUAAGUAAGGAGCCUGUAAUUCAGUGGUUGUCGUUUGUUUAUGUGUUACAUAUUUGUUUUUCGUUCAUUUUUUGUACAUAAAUAAGGGUGCUAGUUUUCUCGUUUGCAUUGUUUUACAUUGUCAUUUCGGGGCCUUUUGAAGCUGAGUAUGCGGUAUGGGCUUUGCUCUUUGUUGAAGGCCGUACGGUAACCUAUAAUUGUUAAUUUCUGUGUCAUUUUGGUCUCUUGUGGAGAGUUGUCUUAACAUGGCAAUCAUACCACAUCUUUUUUUUUUGUAAUCAAUGAAUUUUGUAAAAGAUUUAAUGACUGGAGAAUUUCAGAAAAAGUAUCAAAAGUUCACAUGAAUAAUUUUAGCGCUUAUCUGUAUAUUAUGAACAUUCAUUACUAUAUAAAUAAAGCGUAUUUACU
rnacentral:lncRNA from 1 species